UACGUAGGGUGCAAGCGUUGUCCGGAAUUAUUGGGCGUAAAGAGCUUGUAGGCGGUUUGUCGCGUCUGCUGUGAAAUUUCGGGGCUCAACCCCGAACUUGCAGUGGGUACGGGCAGACUAGAGUGUGGUAGGGGAGACUGGAAUUCCUGGUGUAGCGGUGAAAUGCGCAGAUAUCAGGAGGAACACCGGUGGCGAAGGCGGGUCUCUGGGCCGAAACUGACGCUGAGGAGCGAAAGCGUGGGGAGCAAACAGG
rnacentral:rRNA from 1 species